CGGCCUCUACUGGUAUCCACAUGGAGAUGCCUAAUUAGAGCACCAAAAUUAUCGGUGUGCUAGUACCUUACAGAUCUCGCUCCUCAGUUUUGGCUCUAGAUCUCUUCUUCUAGAUCUCGAAGCAGAAGAUCGCUGCGCAAACUCUUUCACGCAGAUCCGAUAGGAUCUGAACCAGAUCACCAUGAAGAGAAGAAGAACCCUUCUUCUUCUCUUCUUCUCUCCUUUUUCUCUUCUUAGAUCUGAUCACCAUUAGAUCUGGGCAUUGGAUGAAGGGGAGAAG
rnacentral:lncRNA from 1 species